rnacentral:rRNA from 1 species
GGAUUAGAUACCCUGGUAGUCCACGCCGUAAACGAUGUCAACUAGGUGUUGGGAUGGUUAAUCGUCUCAUUGCCGCAGCUAACGCAUUAAGUUGACCGCCUGGGGAGUACGGUCGCAAGAUUAAAACUCAAAGAAAUUGACGGGGGCCCGCACAAGCGGUGGAGUAUGUGGUUUAAUUCGACGCAACGCGCAGAACCUUACCUGGUCUUGACAUCCCGGGAAUCUUUUGGAAACAAGAGAGUGCCUCUUUGAGGAACCUGGUGACAGGUGCUGCAUGGCUGUCGUCAGCUCGUGCCG